rnacentral:rRNA from 1 species
UACGUAGGUGGCAAGCGUUGUUCGGAAUUAUUGGGCGUAAAGGGCGCGUAGGCGGUUUGCUAAGUCAGUUGUGAAAGCCCGGGGCUCAACCCCGGAGGGUCGGCUGAUACUGGUGGACUAGAGUACGGAAGAGGUAGCUGGAAUUCCCGGUGUAGCGGUGAAAUGCGCAGAUAUCGGGAGGAACACCUAUGGCGAAGGCAGCUCGCUGGGACGUUACUGACGCUGAGACGCGAAAGCGUGGAGAGCAAACAGG